rnacentral:miRNA from 1 species
UGGUGGGGAUGGGUUGGGGUU